GAUUUAUUUAAACGGCCGCGGUAUUCUAACCGUGCAAAGGUAGCGUAAUCACUUGUCUUCUAAAUAAAGACCAGUAUGAACGGCUAAAUGAGGACAAACCUGUCUCUUGCAACCAAUCAGUGAAACUGAUCUUCCGGUCCAAAAGCCGGAAUACCCCCAUAAGACGAGAAGACCCUGUGGAGCUUCAAACAAACUACUACAUGGCCACCAGCCAUCCCAGUAGAGCAUUUUGAGUUGGGGCGACUUCGGAAUCAAAAAAAACUUCCGAGCACGGAACCACUAGUUCUUACCAAGACCAACAAGUCAAAGACCAAAUACACGACCCAGUAGUACUGACCAACGAACCAAGUUACCCCAGGGAUAACAGCGCUAUCUUCUUCAAGAGUCCAUAUCGACAAGAAGGUUUACGACCUCGAUGUUGGAUCAGGACACCCCAAUGGUGCAGCCGC
rnacentral:rRNA from 1 species